GAAGCUACUGGACAGUCAGUUGUCUAAACUGGUAUAGGGUCUCCUGCUCAAACGGGAUUGGACUAGAUGAUCUCUCGGGUCCCUUCCGACUCUGUUAUUCUUUUUUUCAUUCCUCAGCUCUCCCCUAAAUGAGCAAGCUUGAAACUUUUGACCUUUAAGCAGUUAAAGAGUCUUGCUGUACCAGCCCAGGAACAAUCGAAAAUCACUUUGCACAAAUUAAGCAGGCAGCACAAGAGAAGACACAACUCUUUGUUUUGAUUAAGGUCAACAGGACUCAUCAAGGAGGCAGAAACGUCCUUCACUUAGUUAUUUUAGUGCAGAAAGAAAGAAAAAGAAAGAAGGGAGAGAGGAAGAAAGAAAGAAACAGAAAAAGGAAGAGAGAAAGGAAAGAAAGAAAAGAAAAAGAAAGAAAGAAAGAAA